rnacentral:rRNA from 1 species
AUUGAACGCUGGCGGCAUGCCUUACACAUGCAAGUCGAACGGCAGCGGGGGAGAAGCUUGCUUUUCCUGCCGGCGAGUGGCGAACGGGUGAGUAAUACAUCGGAACGUGCCCUGUAGUGGGGGAUAACUAGUCGAAAGAUUAGCUAAUACCGCAUACGACCUGAGGGUGAAAGUGGGGGACCGCAAGGCCUCAUGCUAUAGGAGCGGCCGAUGUCUGAUUAGCUAGUUGGUGGGGUAAAGGCCUACCAAGGCGACGAUCAGUAGCUGGUCUGAGAGGACGAUCAGCCACACUGGGCCUGAGACACGCCCCAGACUCCUACGGGAGGCAGCAGUGGGGAAUUUUGGACAAUGGGCGAAAGCCUGAUCCAGCAAUGCCGCGUGUGUGAAGAAGGCCUUCGGGUUGUAAAGCACUUUUGUCCGGAAAGAAAUGGCUCUGGUUAAUACCUGGGGUCGAUGACGGUACCGGAAGAAUAAGGACCGGCUAACUACGUGCCAGCCGCCGCCGUAA